CUCAUAGCGUAUAUUUAAGUUGUUGCAGUUAAAAAGCUCGUAGUCGGAUUUUGGCUGAGAACGGUCGGUCCGCCGUUAGGUGUGCACUGACUGGUCUCAGCUUCCUGGUGAGGAGGUGUGCUUCAUCGCCACUUAGUCACCGUGGUUACUUUGAAAAAAUUAGAGUGUUCAAAGCGGGCUUACGCUUGAAUAUAUUAGCAUGGAAUAACACCAUAGGACUCCUGUCCUAUUUCGUUGGUCUCGGGACGGGAGUAAUGAUUAAGAGGAACAGUUGGGGGCAUUCGUAUUUCAUUGUCAGAGGUGAAAUUCUUGGAUUUAUGAAAGACGAACUUCUGCGAAAGCAUUUGCCAAGGAUGUUUUCAUUGAUCAAGAACGAAAGUUGGGGGCUCGAAGAUGAUUAGAUACCAUCCUAGUCUCAACCAUAAACGAUGCCGACUAGGGAUUGGCGGAUGUUAAUUGAUGACUUCGCCAGCACCUUAUGAGAAAUCAAAGUUUUUGGGUUCCGGGGGGAGUAUGGUCGCAAGGCUGAAACUUAAAGGAAUUGACGGAAGGGCACCACCAGGCGUGGAGCCUGCGGCCUAAUUUGACUCAACACGGGGAAACUUACCAGGUCCAGACAUAGUAAGGAUUGACAGAUUGAGAGCUCUUUCUUGAUUCUAUGGGUGGUGGUGCAUGGCCGUUCU
rnacentral:rRNA from 1 species